rnacentral:rRNA from 1 species
UACGGAGGGUGCAAGCGUUACCCGGAAUCACUGGGCGUAAAGGGCGCGUAGGCGGUCUCGUAAGUCUGGCUUUAAAGACCGAGGCUCAACUUCGGAUCUGGGUUGGAUACUGCAAGGCUAGACGGCUGGAGGGGAGAGUGGAAUUCUCGGUGUAGCGGUGAAAUGCGGAGAUACCGAGAGGAACACCAGUAGCGAAGGCGGCUCUCUGGACAGUACGUGACGCUGAGGAGCGAAAGUGUGGGGAGCAAACCGG